rnacentral:lncRNA from 10 species
CCUCCCAGAUUCACGCCAUUCUCCUGCCUAAGCCUCCCGAGUAGCUGCAACUACAGGCGCUUGUCACCUUGCCGGGCAAAUUUUUUUGUAUUUUUAGUAGCGACGUGGUUUCACCGCGUUAGCCAGGAUGAUCUCGAUCUCUCCUGACCUCGAGAUCUGCUCGCGUUAGCCUCCCAAAGUGCUGGGAUUACAGGCAUGAGCCACCACCGCGCCUGGCGUUUUUUUUUUUGUUUGUUUUGUUUUUUUUAGGAGUCUCCCUCUGUUUCCCAGGCUGGAGUGCAGUGGUGAGAUCUCAGUUCACUGCAACCUCCGCCUCCCAAGUUCAAGUGAUUCUCCUGCCUCAGCCUCUCGAGUAGCUGGGAUUACAGGUACCUGCCACCAUGCCCAGCUAAUUUUUGUAUUUUUAGUAGAGAUGGGGGUUUCGCCAUGUUGGCCAGGCUGGUCUGGAACUUCUGACUUCAAGUGAUCGGCCUGCCUCAGCCUUCAAAAGACCUGGGAUUACAGGUGUAAGCCACCAUGCCUGACACGGAAAAUUUAUUUUUAUUUAUUUAUUUAUUUUAUUUUUAUGUAUUUAUAAAUAAAUAUAUAAAUUUUCCUUUGGAUAAAAAGAUG